rnacentral:rRNA from 1 species
UGAGGGAUUUUGCGCAAUGGGGGGAACCCUGACGCAGCAACGCCGCGUGAGUGAAGAAGGCCUUUGGGUCGUAAAGCUCUGUCAACAAGGAAGAAGUUACAAUGGUUUAAGAGACGAUUGUAUUGACGGUACUUGUGGAGGAAGCGCCGGCUAACUCCGUGCCAGCAGCCGCGGUAACACGGGGGGCGCAAGCGUUAUUCGGAAUUAUUGGGCGUAAAGGGCGCGUAGGCGGUCCUGUCGGUCAGAUGUGAAAGCCCGGGGCUCAACCCCGGACGUGCAUUUGAAACAGCAGGACUUGAGUACGGGAGAGGAAAGCGGAAUUCCUGGUGUAGAGGUGAAAUUCGUAGAUAUCAGGAGGAACACCGAUGGCGAAGGCAGCUUUCUGGACCGAUACUGACGCUGAGGCGCGAAGGCGUGGGUAGCGAACAGGAUUAGAUACCCCCGUAGUCC